UGCUUUCAAUGUUCCAAGCAUUUUGUUUGUCUCUUUGGUGAACUCCUUUCCUUUGCAUUCCCCUCCCUACGUGACCAACAAAGUCCCACUAUUUAUGCUUGUUGAUUAUUUAAUAUUCCCAGAGUAGUAAUAGGAGUAGAAAAAUUAGAAUGUUUUUAAGGUGGCUUGGAAGACAUCACAAUUGCUAAUUAUGACAAGCCAAAUGAGGAGUUGUCAUGAGACUUAAGCUGAGGAUUCACCAAGCUUAAAACUAUCCAGGUUGAUAUGAUUACUGUCCAGAGGGCUUGACAUUUACAAUAAAAAAGCAGAGGAAGCUAGACCUGGAAGCAAGAGAGACAGGACAUGGGAAAAAGAACAAAGCAGGGAAGAGGAAAUACUACUUCUAUUAAAAAGAAACAAUAGAGGCUACUUACCGAGGUUUUGGCCCCAGAACAAAAGAUGGGAAUGUGUCCGGAGUUGGUUCCUUCUGGUGGAUUUGUGGUCUCGCUGACUUCAAGAAUGGAGCCGUGGACAUUCAGGACUUGGCAUCACUACCCCUAACUUUGUUUUCCGGCAUUUCCCAAAAUGUUCCCAUGUGGUUUCAACAUGUAAGCAACAUGAAGCCUACGGAAUCAGAAAUGAGAAAAGGAGGCAGCCACACAGACAUGCAAAAAUGCACCAGCCCAAGUGCACCGACUUAAGGGGCUUUGAAAGAAUCAGGUAUUGGACUACCUGAGCCUGUCUUCUUUGCAUGUCAUUCUGAUUUGCUUUCCACGGAGACAACAACCCGUCUAUGGAAAAUUUGAGUAAUUUUUCAAUCCAAUACUGCAUUGCUGAUAUAGGAUGAAGGAAAUGAGUGGCAAGGUUGCUGAGAGACAGAGACUGUAAGUCUAAUAAAAUUAUAUUGGGCCUACCACCCACUUCUAUUUCAGAUUUCCAUAGCAUUCUUUGUGAAGUUACUCACAAAAGAAGUACUAAGUUGCUGUGGGGGGUGUGUGUGUGUUUAUCUUACCAGCUUUGUCUAAUAUUUAAAUUUUGUUCGAGUAAAAGAAUAAAAAGUACACAUGCUCUAUGAGUGGAACCUCUCUAAUGGAAUAUUUUAACCCCAGCCCCAUAUGCAAAGCUCUUUAAAUGGUUGACCCAGAAGUCUGACCUCCUGACACGUUUCAGUCUUUCUGUUCAUCAUGGUUUCCAUAAGCAGCAAGAAUUUCUUCAGCUUUACUGCUGACCCUGGAAGUCACUGUACUCUCAAAACUUUAUCUACAAGGGCGUGAAGAUUGUUUCUUCAAAACUCUUAGUCACAG
rnacentral:lncRNA from 1 species